GUGUUUUGUUCAAACAUUCUUAAUAAUUGUCUUGUUGGUCUCGUGCUCGGCUACAUUCGAACCACCACUUGGUCAAACCUAAUAAAAGUCCAGUGGAUGAAAUUGAUAAGAGGAACACUGCUAUAAAAACCUCUAAACUAUUAAUUACAUAAUACUAGUACUUUUUUACGGAUAAGUACAUUCAGGAUAGUACAAUUCUUUG
rnacentral:lncRNA from 1 species